rnacentral:rRNA from 1 species
GGAAUAUUGGACAAUGGGGGCAACCCUGAUCCAGCGACGCCGCGUGUGUGAAGAAGGCCUGCGGGUUGUAAAGCACUUUUAGUGGGGAUGAAAAGCACAUUGCUAAUACCAGUGUGUCUUGACCUAACCCAAAGAAACAGCACCGGCUAACUCUGUGCCAGCAGCCGCGGUAAUACAGAGGGUGCGAGCGUUAAUCGGAAUUACUGGGCGUAAAGCGUGCGCAGGCGGUUCGCUGUGUCCGAUGUGAAAGCCCCGGGCUCAACCUGGGAAUGGCAUGGGAAACUGGCGGGCUGGAGUGUGGCAGAGGGGGGUGGAAUUCCGCGUGUAGCAGUGAAAUGCGUAGAGAUGCGGAGGAACACCGAUGGCGAAGGCAGCCCCCUGGGCCAACACUGACGCUCAGGCACGAAAGCGUGGGGAGCAAAC